AUAUUUCACCUUCUGUGAAACACCGUAACAGCAGCAUUUUGCGAUUUUAUUGUUGACAUCGCCGCCUGUUCAACUGACCUGGCGUGCACUCGCUAACAACUGUAAAUAAUUAUUUCAUAACUGCUUUAUUUUAACUACCACUGGAAACAAAUUACAGUCUUUUCUAGAACCGUUCCUGUGAAUUUAGACUUGCAUAUACUAAUAAAGUGUUACCAAAAAAAUGUCGAUGAGCGAACAUUCAUGAAUUAAUUAAUUCACAGACAAUGCCAUGAGGGGGGCAUUCUUUAUACUAUGGUGCAAUGAAAACAUUUUAAUUGUAUUGCACUUAUGUGAAAUGUCUUUGGCUGCUCCGGUGUGAGGUUGUUGUUGCCGAGCAGCACGGGCGUACCGAUGUGGACACCACGUGAUCAUGACUAACUGUGAUGGAGCAGAUUACUGAACGACUCAAAGAGACCAGAGCUGAAAAAAUAAAAGACUAUUAAAGAGACUAAAGAGACAGUUGAGCUGAAGAUACUGCAAGUGAUUUAGUGUGUGUGUGUGUGUGUGUGUAAAAUACAACACGCAGACACACACACACACACACACACACACACCAAAACCCUAUAUAUGUCUUCUCUCCAUUCUCAGAGAUACUGUCAUUUGGAACCGGCUAAAUAUCUUUACACAAUUGCGAGUGUACUAAUGUUCGGUAGUCAUUAAUCAGCCUGUAUUGUGGAUGAAGAAUGGAGUUCUUCCAGGCCUGUGUUUAGCAGAGAUCGCCCACUUGCAAACACAGAAUUGAACAUUUAUUAAAUGACUGAGGCAAAAGACAAAAGAAAACCACAGUUGGAGGAAAAAGGGAAAUACUAUCUAUGAGCUAUUGUCCAUUGUGUUGUUUCUUUUUGACAUUACCUCAUCUUUGACAGUUAAACACCCGAUUCCGGGCAGACAGCCUUACCUGACCGACUGGUGAGUCAAGUCAAGUCACGUCGUGUUUUUCUGUGAGAACCCGACAACAAACCACAGAACGUUUGAGACUGAGCUCAAGCUCCCUACGGGGACAGACAGGAGGACACAGACAAAACAGAAAUAAUGGAAAGGAGCUCUCAAGUGUAAAUUCAAAAAGAGAUGCCCUUUCUCAGAUGGCUGAGGGUGCGAUAGGAAAAAUGCCAAUUACAAAAAGGAGCGGAAAGAGUGAGACACUCGCUCAAACUUUGACAGCAAGUCGUCUCAAACACUUGUGACCAAGAUGCCUCCGGGCACCUGUGUGACCGUUAGUCACAGAUUUAUUCAUGGGCAGGUUUAGAUACCGCCGGUAAGACAAAGAAGAAAACAGAUUCUGAUCUCUCCGUGUCACACUUUUAUGCACACACACACACACACACACACACACACACACACACACACACACACAAAGAGGAGUGUUGCAUCACGUCAUCUUUCUCAGGAUCAGUGGCGUUUUUUUUUGUUUUCAAUCGGUUUCAACUUGAUUUUGGCCUCAACUGUGUCGUCAAACAUUAUUGAAUUAAAAGAAAAAGAAAGGAAAAACGAACCGACCGCGGUGGGUAUUCCAAACCUCCCGUGUGUCACAACGUGUUAGCAGCGCCCUGCAGUUUUUAACUGCUACGCAGCCAAACAGCUUCGCAUCUAGAUUGUCUGAGUGCGGAUGAGGAAGCGGCCGGCCGAGACACACACACACACACACACACACACACACACACACACACACACACACACACAGAAGAUAAGAAGGAAAAGAUAACUCAAACAUUAUUCUCUUUGAACGUUGACAGGCAGUCCACUGUGUUGGAGUUUUCAGCUCAGAGCAUUUCAAAGCAACAUUGUAAUUGUGUGGAAAGAUAAAACGCGCAUUGCUUUUGCCUUUUUUCCUCCCUCCGCGCAGCUCGGCGGUCGGGUGGAGUCUUUGCUUUGGUGAGACGUAAAAAAAAAAGAAAAGAGGGGGGCUUUUCGGGCGAGUCUGCCGAUGUUGUCUUUUUCUCUCUCUAGUGUAAAAUUGCAAAGUCGUUCAUCGGCGUACGCUCCUCUCCUAUCGCAGAGUGAGG
ensembl:lncRNA